CCUACGGGAGGCAGCAGUGGGGAAUAUUGCGCAAUGGGCGAAAGCCUGACGCAGCGACGCCGCGUGAGGGAUGAAGGUCUUCGGAUCGUAAACCUCUGUCAGCAGGGAAGAACGGUCACUGUGCUAAUCAGCAGUGAAUUGACGGUACCUGCAAAGGAAGCAUCGGCUCACUCCGUGCAAGCAGCCGCGGUAAUACGGAGGGUGCGAGCGUUAAUCGGAAUUACUGGGCGUAAAGCGCGCGUAGGCGGUAUGUCAAGUCAGGGGUGAAUUCCCUGCGCUCAACGGGGGAACUGCCUUUGAUACUGGCAUACUGGAGUGUGGGAGAGGAUAGUGGAAUUCGAGGUGUAGGAGUGAAAUCCGUAGAUAUCUGGAGGAACACCAGUGGCGAAGGCGGCUUACUGGACUGUAACUGACGUUGAGGCUCGAAAGCGUGGGGAGCAAACAGGAUUAGAUACCCCUGUAGUC
rnacentral:rRNA from 1 species